GUUAGGAAUAUUGGUCAAUGGGCGAGAGCCUGAACCAGCCAAGUCGCGUGAAGGAAGAAGGAUCUAUGGUUCGUAAACUUCUUUUGCAGGGGAAUAAAGUGCGGGACGUGUCCUGUUUUGUAUGUACCCUGAGAAUAAGGAUCGACUAACUCCGUGCCAGCAGCCGCGGUAAUACGGAGGAUCCGAGCGUUAUCCGGAUUUAUUGGGUUUAAAGGGUGCGUAGGUGGUUUGAUAAGUCAGCGGUGAAAGUUUGCAGCUUAACUGUAAAAAUGCCGUUGAAACUGUCGGACUUGAGUGUAAAUGAGGUAGGCGGAAUGCGUGGUGUAGCGGUGAAAUGCAUAGAUAUCACGCAGAACUCCGAUUGCGAAGGCAGCUUACUAAGCUACAACUGACACUGAAGCACGAAAGCGUGGGGAUCAAACAGGAUUAGAAACCCCGGUAGUCC
rnacentral:rRNA from 1 species